rnacentral:rRNA from 1 species
CGUGUAGGCGGAUUAGCAAGCCUGAUGUGAAAGACCACAGCUUAACUGUGGGAACGCGUUGGGAACUGCUAGUCUUGAAUAGUUGAGGGGUAACCGGAAUUCCUAGUGUAGGGGUGAAAUCUGUAGAUAUUAGGAAGAACACCAAUGGCGAAGGCAGGUUACUGGCAACUUAUUGACGCUAAGGCACGAAAGCGUGGGGAGCGAACA